GAUGAACGCUGGCGGCGUGCCUAAUACAUGCAAGUCGAGCGAACGGACGAGAAGUUUGCUUCUCUGAUGUUAGCGGCGGACGGGUGAGUAACACGUGGAUAACCUACCUAUAAGACUGGGAUAACUUCGGGAAACCGGAGCUAAUACCGGAUAAUAUUUUGAACCGCAUGGUUCAAACGUGAAAGACGGUCUUGCUGUCACUUAUAGAUGGAUCAGCGCUUCAUUAGCUAGUUGGUAAGGUAACGGCUUACCAAGGCAACGAUGCAUAGCCGACCUGAGAGGGUGAACGGCCACACGGGAAGUGAGACACGGUCCAGACUCCGACGGGAGGCAGCAGUAGGGAAUCUUCCGCAAUGGGCGAGAGCCUGACGGAGCAACGCCGCGUGAGUGAUGAAGGUCUUCGGAUCGUAAAACUCUGUUAGUAGGGAAGAACAUAUGUGUAAGUAACUGUGCACAUCUUGACGGUACCUAAUGAGAAAGCCACGGCUAACUACGUG
rnacentral:rRNA from 1 species